AUAAUCUAAGCGCCUGAUCCUAUUUGGAUGACGAGGAAUGGAGUUAUCGAAAAUCGGCGGAUGCUCCAGAGGUUUCACAGCCUAAACAUUUUACAAAAAAUAAAAGUAAUUUUAUAACAAAAUAAAUG
rnacentral:ncRNA from 1 species